rnacentral:sRNA from 1 species
UCAUCUAUAGACUAAAUAGUAGUUUGAAAUAUGUAAAAGUAAGAUUAACCAACAAUUAUAUGUAGGGGCUAUUACAGAAUUAGGCACAAUAUGGGCCAGAAAUUUGAAAAAAGGAACAAUCUAUUUGGGCUUAUGAGAUUAAGCACUUUCAUAUACGCGAAGUGACUGUUUUGGUUCCUUAUGUUUGACUUCUUCUCCAUGUUUUUUCUUCUUCAUCGUUUUACUUCUUCUCUUUAUUUUUCCAGAAACUUGAAAUCUACUUUAAUCAUGUUGAUGGUUCUCAUUAAACAAGCUCUCAUAGAAGAAAUAUAUACUCUAAGAAGAUAGUAUCUAUGGAACCCAAGGGAUCCAAUCUUGGGCUCCGAUGAAAUUGAAUUGAAGAGUAAGCGGAGAGAAUUGUUGUUUACACGGAGGUCGUGUAAGAAAGAGACGGCGACAAAAUUCACCGGCUUUCCGAUGAAUUUGAGCUGAUUACGGAGAGAAAACCAAUGCAAGAAACGAAUGCAUAUUAAUCAGAGACGUGUAUCUCUCCUAUUGCGUUUGAUUUAAAAUUAUUAAUGGGAUAGGUUGUAGACGAUGCUUAUUGCGUUUGAUUUAAAAUUAUUAAUGGGAUAGGUUGUAGACGAUGCUUCAACAGUGGUACAAGAAAAAGAAAAAAAAAACUGAAAAUAUUUUUGGAAAGUUGUAAAGGGUAAAACUGUAAAACAACAAUAGGUAAAAGUACAUGAAUUUGUGAAUACUGUGAGAUGUUCCUAUCUCCACAAAAGCACAGACUUUAACGUGUCGAUCCCAUAAUUGAUCCAUUAUAUGUAGCCAUCACUAGUUUUAAAAUUUAUCACACAUUUUAGUCAAUUGAAAGAA